AACGUAGGAGACAAACGUUAUCCGGAGUUACUGGGCGUAAAGGGCGUGUAGGUGGUGCUGUAAGUUCGGCGUGAAAUUUUUCGGCUUAACCGGGAAAGGUCGUCGGAUACUGCAGGACUAGAGGACGGUAGAGGCGUGUGGAAUUCCGGGUGUAGUGGUGAAAUGCGCAGAUAUCAGGAAGAACACCCGUGGCUAAGGCGGCUCGUCUAGUACGGUACUGACGCUGAGACGCGAAAGCGUGGGGAGCGAACAGGG
rnacentral:rRNA from 1 species